CCACCCAGUCUGCCUGCAACCUGCCUGGCCUUACACAGCAAGAAGUGACCUGCACUGCUUAACUCCUCUUGUAAGUCAGCAGUAGGAAAGCCCCACUUCCUUUUUUAAUCAGACUACCACGUUGAAACACAUUGUUUUCCAGAAAUGAUCUACUGAACUGCAAUUAGCAAGGAAAUCUAACUCCACCGUUUUCUUAAGGAAACCCAAAUUAGCAGUUUGGGCUGCUGCCCUGCUCUUUACCCCUUAGUUCUGCACAUUCAGGGGGUCACGCUUCCUUCUCGCAGAAAGUUGCUCUCAACACAUGAUGUUAGAAAUUCACACUCACAUUCUUUCAUGUGCUCAACAGCCCUUUUGAGCGUUAAACACUGAUGAUCAAUAUGCACAUUCUCGCCCAGUGCCCAUUUUCCUGCUAACUUCAGCCCAUCUUCUGAAAAAAAAUCUAGACACAGACACAAAAAAAAGAAAACCAGAAAAUCAUACAUCCUCUUAGCUUCUAAAAUUAUCCUGCAUUUCCUCCUGUUCAGCGCAACAUUUUGUUCCACUGAAGAACGAGGACAGCUACUAGCACACCUGCAAAGCAAAUGGUAUUUCAAUUAAACAGCACAUGGGACGACAGUACAGGGAAGAAAAUACAUGGAAGCAGAUGCAUGGAAGCAUUUAGAAUGUGUAUUUUUCAGAGUUGGAAAACGGAACUACGUUAGGCAGAAGUAAAAUUCAUGGAUCAGUGAAAGAUGACACUAAGGUACAGGCAAAAUGCAGGUGUACAGUCACCUCUUCAGAGGCAGCUGGAGAAGCUGGCCUGACAUCGAGCAGGUGGUCAGCGUGGUACAAGAAGAAGAAUAAAAGCCCAGUACUGUCAACAGAAGUAAGAUUCUUUUCACAAACUCUCUUUUCUAGAAGCCAAGCUCUGCCCGCUCAGGUUUUACUAUUUCCAUCAUGGCAGUCACAGAUGGACAUUGUUAUCUCUAGCAUAACCCACUCUUUCCUGUCCCUUUAGUUAGGGCAACUGACGAUUUAGAAUAGUAGCAUCGUUAGCAUGCCAGAGACAAAAGCACACAAAGAGAGGACGCAGCGGUAGGAAUGGAAUUCAUUGUGGCUUCAGAAAAAAAGCAGAUGUCUCAACAGGUUCUGAGAAACGGGCUGACAGCCAUAAAAAGCAACUUUAUACACAACCUUGGGGUUUACCUCAGGAAGGCUGCUGUUCUGCAUUUGUUAACUUUUGCGAAGUGAAGGGUGGCCAGUCUAGUUUCCCUAAGCUCAUUUAACCCUGCAGCCCCAGUUGCUUAGUUCCUACCCCACACCAUGAGCACAGCUCAGCCCAACUGGCAAGCCAAGCAACACCUGAGCAGCUUUGGCAGAAGCUCCCAGGAUGUAGUGAGCAAUCCUUCAGCUGUUCUGCAUGGGAAACCCCGCUCCUUCUAGGAAACAGGCCAUGACCUGUCUGGCAUCAGGGGCAGAUUCCCAGGAGAAGUUACCGUCAUUGGUGCACAUGGGGUAUUGUCAGCAGUGAAAAUAGCAGUUCUGGACAGGUAGCUCUUCUGAAGUCACCAGGAGCAAAAGAACAAUAGAAGUGGGAAUUUACAUUGCAUUCCCAAAUCUCUGGAGAUCAAUGCCUCUUCCGCUCCACCAACUGGCAGAGCUCAGGCAGGCAAUAAGUUGCUGCCCCUCACUGAUAUAGCAGGACCUGGGAUUAACCUCGCAACUCCAAGUUCAUUUAGGGAAACAGGAACAAAAUUUUUCCCUAUCACAUCUUUGAGAGAAGAAAAACGUAACCUCAUGCCACAACAAUAAAAAACACGGCUUCUUCACCAUUCCACAGUUCACCCCAAAGGUCAUAGGUCUUUCACAGCGUAACAGGCCACCAUUGCCUUUUCCAAAGGAGUUAUUCACACCGUUCACUCAUGGUGCUUCUCUCACCCUGAGCACUACUUCUGCUCCAUUUACAAAGGCCCAUACACACUGUGGGUACUACUUACAAAUAACAAGAAUCAUGUGGCCUUGCUUUCAAAAUUUCUUUAUUCCGCUUCUCUUUGGUAAAGGCAAAUACACAAAGCAGGACUGUCAGUACAUCAGUAAAAAAAAAGCAACUUUGCAUAGAUAAUAACUAAGCAAUAAAUACGAGGCACAUAACGCCACUAAAAAUAUGCAUUAAAAAAACUGAGUUGAUAGCCCAAAGCUAUUUUCAAAUCUGAAGUUGCAGGUGCUGUUAACCAAAAAUACUUAUGUAAAUUCACCUCAAAACUUACUUCACUUGGAAAAAAAAAUCCAAAACCAACUUUUAAAUUGCCCUGAAAUCCCACUUUCUGUAUAGAAAGUAAGGAAAGUACAAACAGACUAUAAAAAAAAGUCCCGAUCUAGAAUGAGGCAUUCCUGUUAUUGCAAAUCUUUAAGUAGAAAAUUAUGGACCAGCUGGCAUUUGAACCGGAUCAAAUAUUUUUACCAAGAAAUCUAUUUAUUGGAGUUAUUUAUACAGAUAAAUAACUCUUACUGCACCUGCACAGCAAACAUCAGCACUCAUGUGGUCAGUGACGCAUGCAGACAUAAGCAGACACAUUCUUUGGCCCUAGAGCCUCUAUUAGUCAUUAUUCUGGCUGGACUUCUACAGAACAAAUAACUGUUCUGAAACAUACAAUUUAGCUCCUGCUAAAUUUCUCUGUUGACUUUUUAGCUGGUUUGUGCGCUUGGUUAAGACUCAUGCCGGGCACCUCAAGAGCUGCCCACCAGAACCUUCUACACCCAACCAUUCCACAUGUCUGUGAGGAAACACAGUCCUAACCUCCACAUGCUUCAUGAGAUGGAGCAGUUCAGAUGCACAGACAACCACUACUUAAACCCAAAAGACUGGCAGUGAUCCUGAGGAGCUGGCAAAUAUUAAGACAGAACAAAGUUUAAGCAAAACCUUAAAUGUCAGUACUGAUCAAUAGAACAGAAAUUAACAGAGGACCCCUGUAGUCCCUGCAUCCAUCCAUUCUGUCAGAGACAUGGUCCAUGAAGUUUGCAUAGCCAGAGAUAUAUGAUAGGCCCAGGGGGGCUUAGGUGCUGACACCUUGCAAAUAAGGUUGGUGCAAGGCAAUGCAGGGAGCUCAAUGGUCCCAGAGCCACACUGCAUCAGUGAGAGGAAGUGGGACAGGCAAACAUGGGAGCAAGCCUGGAAAUGAUCAGACCUGCAACCACAGGUUGGCAAUCAGAGGGGAAAAGGAAAAGAAAAAAGAAUUGGAGAGGCUCCAGAUCUACCUGUGGCAGAAUCAGUCAGGUCUCAGUUUCCAAGAGGAACAUAACACUUUCCUCUGCCAUCAAAAACCAUGGCAAAGCAGCAAAUACAGCUCUGUAAAACUUUCCAUUGAUCCCAUUAAAUCCAUAAUGCCCUAGCAUGGUUAUCUCAGGGUGUAACAUUCCACAUGACAAAAUCUAGGCAUGGAAUAAUUGCCUAUGGCCAACAGAGCAAUUUGUCUUUGCUUAAAUAGAAGCAACAAGAAUAGAUGGAGACAAGAGAUGGAGCAGUGUAUCAGAUGACCACAGGAUGAUCAAGAAGGCCAGUCCACGCUUUUUGAUAACUAAGCAAGGAACAGGCUGGGGUAUUAAUAGCACUGCAUCAGAAGGCAGAGAGAACGACAGCAAAGCAUAUGGCAAGGAGAGUAUGACAGUAGUUACAUUACUGAGCUUUGUUUCAAUCUUUUCCUCAUUUACAUAGUAAAUCAAAUAACUAACAAACAAACCAAAAAAGGAUUUGAAAGAAAGCCAUAUAAAAUAAAUUACUGAGAACACUUAUUUCCCAACUAUGGCUGCUACUACUUCUAAUCUGUCACCUGACUGGGAUCCUACUGACCUUUUAUCAAUAAUUUCAGGAGAUUUGGUGUGGUUUGAGACCUCCAGCAGCAGAUCUCUCUAGAGGUAGCUCAGAAAUACAGCUGUUGACACUUUCAGCAAGGAGAAGGAGCUGCAUUAGCUGGAUAAGAAAGAAGAAAAGGAGAUGACAGGAAGAAAAUGAUGAGUUGCUGAGUUGCAAAACGUAACAUGCAGAAAGCUAUUAGUAAAAUAAUCCCCCCAGCUCUUUACUGAGAGCAGUUAUGCACUGGAAGAGGACCCCCAGUUUGCUCACAGCUUCCAUGGGAAGAAGGCAAAUGCAUUUGCAGACUAGCAGUAUCAGGAAUGGCACGAGCAGAGCAGAUAUUGUCUGGCAGCAGAAGAGAGGUCUGAGCAUUCCCUCUGGUCCUCUUUCCUUGUGAUGUAGUGUUUAGAUCAGGAAUCAAAUAUCAUGCUAGUCUUUCAGCAAUGAAGACGCUGGCUAGAGGGCUCAGAGCUUUGGUCUUGAUGUAUUUCCCUUUUACUGCUGCUACUUUCCAGUCAUGCAGGUCUCUGCUUUUAGUGUUGACUUUGGGAUGCUAGGCUGUAAUGAUCCAGGAGAUGAAUGGACAUCCUCUGCAAUCCUAGAAAACAGAGAAAAAGCUGAAAAAGGAUGAACCAGAGAGGUUCAGAAUAAGUAUGGCUUGAGAUUCAUUUGUUUACAUCACUUGGAAAUUUAAUAUGGUACCCUGAAAGUAAG
ensembl:lncRNA